ACCGUGGCUCAGUUCAGAUCGUAGGCUGCAACUCGCCUACGUGAAGGAGGAAUCGCUAGUAAUCGCAGGUCAGCAUACUGCGGUGAAUACGUUCCCGGGCCUUGUACACACCGCCCGUCACACCAUGGAAGUUGGCCACGCCCGAAGUCGUUACUCCAACCCUCUGGGAGGAGGACGCCGAAGGUGGGGCUGAUGACUGGGGUGAAGUCGUAACAAGGUAGCCGUACCGGAAGGUGCGGCUGGAUCACCUCCUAA
rnacentral:rRNA from 1 species